GUUUGGCACUGCCCAGUUCUAAGUAUGUGAAGGAGGGCCCGCCGGGGGAUGUGCUGCCCCUCCUCUACGCCAUUCAUGGCUGAGGCCAAGAUUACUCAGGUUCCAGAGGACUUAAGAGUAUGCACUGCCUCUGCGUGGAUGACCCACAGGGGUAAAUACACCCAGCCACCUGGAGAUAUCUGACUUCCCCAGGCAUCCUAAGUCAGCCACAGGUCUCUCCAACUCAAGCACUCAAACCAAAGUUGAUUGUUGUUAUUAUCUGAUCCACCUUGGAAUAAAAACAAACAGAAGCCAGCUGCUCUCUGGUAAGUGGUGCUCAGGGAUGGCACCGUACAGCCACCCAAGACAGAAGCCUCGGGGCUCCUCCCCGGCUCUCUCCACCUGCCACAUCAGCCAGGGGCGCAGCUCUCCUCUUAACCCUCAGCCCCUGUCCUUGUGGUGUCCCCGUGCGUACACCCAAAGUAUCAUCCUAGGUAAAUGCUCUCUUCCCCAAGCUGGUCUCUCUGCUUCCAUUGUGUGUAUCAUCUGCACCCGUAAGGCAAAGAAAAAGAAAAUAUAAAAAUCAGAUCAUAGCACCUCCCUUACUUAAAACCCUCUGUUGUUUCGCAGUGCAGAGCAAACUACAGGUUGUCUACAGAAGCUGCUGUUUUCUCUAGUGGACAGUGCCUGCAACAACUUCAUUUAAGUCAACGAAUGAGAUCACUAAUCAGAGUAGAACUGAUCAGAUCCAGUGUCCUCCUUAAACUGGUGUCUCCAGCACCAGGCCUUGGCAAGUUAGGUCCUUGUCUCCCUCACCGCUCACACAGCUUCAGGAAGCGGGUCCUUCUAGUGGCCCCAUCUCACAGGCAAUGAAACAAAGGGUCAGAGAGGUGAAGAAGCUUGCUGAAGACACGUAAGUAGCAGAGCCGGCAAAUCAAU
ensembl:lncRNA